AGCGAACGCUGGCGGCAGGCCUAACACAUGCAAGUCGAACGGAUCCUUCGGGAUUAGUGGCGGACGGGUGAGUAACACGUGGGAACGUGCCCUUUGGUUCGGAACAACUCAGGGAAACUUGAGCUAAUACCGGAUGUGCCCUUCGGGGGAAAGAUUUAUCGCCAUUGGAGCGGCCCGCGUCUGAUUAGCUAGUUGGUGAGGUAAGGCUCACCAAGGCGACGAUCAGUAGCUGGUCUGAGAGGAUGAUCAGCCACAUUGGGACUGAGACACGGCCCAAACUCCUACGGGAGGCAGCAGUGGGGAAUUUUGCGCAAUGGGCGAAAGCCUGACGCAGCCAUGCCGCGUGAAUGAUGAAGGUCUUAGGAUUGUAAAAUUCUUUCACCGGGGACGAUAAUGACGGUACCCGGAGAAGAAGCCCCGGCUAACUUCGUGCCAGCCGCCGCAGUAAUAC
rnacentral:rRNA from 1 species